AGCGUUAUGAAAAUAUAUAAGGUAACACCUGCCCUAUGAUUUUAUUUAAUGGCCGCAGUACUUUGACUGUGCUAAGGUAGCAUAAUAAAUUGGCUUUUAAUUGAGGUCUUGCAUGAAAGGGAAAAUGGGUAUUAGCUGUCUAUAUUUUACUCAAUAAAAGUUACUUAAAGGGUGAAAAUUCCCUUAAAUUAAUUUAAAAGACGAGAAGACCCUAAGAGUUUAUAGAAAUUUUUUGUUGGGGCGACACUACAACAUUUAACUUGUAGAAAUUGAUUUUUAUAAAACGAAUUUUAUUAAUAUUAAUUAAACUACCCUAGGGAUAACAGCAUAAUUUUAAGUUAAGUUUGUGACCUCGAUGUUGGACUAGGAAAUUUUAGUAUUAACAAUACUAAAAAGUUUGUUCUGUUCGAACACUGUCUCCUACAU
rnacentral:rRNA from 1 species